AGAUGUAACGGGGCUAAACCAUGCACCGAAGCUGCGGCAGCGACGCUUAUGCGUUGUUGGGUAGGGGAGCGUUCUGUAAGCCUGUGAAGGUGGCCUGUGAGGGUUGCUGGAGGUAUCAGAAGUGCGAAUGCUGACAUAAGUAACGAUAAAGCGGGUGAAAAGCCCGCUCGCCGGAAGACCAAGGGUUCCUGUCCAACGUUAAUCGGGGCAGGGUGAGUCGACCCCUAAGGCGAGGCCGAAAGGCGUAGUCGAUGGGAAACGGGUUAAUAUUCCCGUACUUGGUGUUACUGCGAAGGGGGGACGGAGAAGGCUAUGUUGGCCGGGCGACGGUUGUCCCGGUUUAAGCGUGUAGGCUGGUUUUCCAGGCAAAUCCGGAAAAUCAAGGCUGAGGCGUGACGACGAGGCACUACGGUGCUGAAGCAACAAAUGCCCUGCUUCCAGGAAAAGCCUCUAAGCAUCAGGUAACAUCAAAUCGUACCCCAAACCGACACAGGUGGUCAGGUAGAGAAUACCAAGGCGCUUGAGAGAACUCGGGUGAAGGAACUAGGCAAAAUGGUGCCGUAACUUCGGGAGAAGGCACGCUGACACGUAGGUGAAGUGAUUUACUCAUGGAGCUGAAGUCAGUCGAAGAUACCAGCUGGCUGCAACUGUUUAUUAAAAACACAGCACUGUGCAAACACGAAAGUGGACGUAUACGGUGUGACGCCUGCCCGGUGCCGGAAGGUUAAUUGAUGGGGUCAGCGCAAGCGAAGCUCCUGAUCGAAGCCCCGGUAAACGGCGGCCGUAACUAUAACGGUCCUAAGGUAGCGAAAUUCCUUGUCGGGUAAGUUCCGACCUGCACGAAUGGCGUAAUGAUGGCCAGGCUGUCUCCACCCGAGACUCAGUGAAAUUGAACUCGCUGUGAAGAUGCAGUGUACCCGCGGCAAGACGGAAAGACCCCGUGAACCUUUACUAUAGCUUGACACUGAACAUUGAGCCUUGAUGUGUAGGAUAGGUGGGAGGCUUUGAAGUGUGGACGCCAGUCUGCAUGGAGCCGACCUUGAAAUACCACCCUUUAAUGUUUGAUGUUCUAACGUGGACCCGUUACCCGGGUUGCGGACAGUGUCUGGUGGGUAGUUUGACUGGGGCGGUCUCCUCCUAAAGAGUAACGGAGGAGCACGAAGGUUGGCUAAUCCUGGUCGGACAUCAGGAGGUUAGUGCAAUGGCAUAAGCCAGCUUGACUGCGAGCGUGACGGCGCGAGCAGGUGCGAAAGCAGGUCAUAGUGAUCCGGUGGUUCUGAAUGGAAGGGCCAUCGCUCAACGGAUAAAAGGUACUCCGGGGAUAACAGGCUGAUACCGCCCAAGAGUUCAUAUCGACGGCGGUGUUUGGCACCUCGAUGUCGGCUCAUCACAUCCUGGGGCUGAAGUAGGUCCCAAGGGUAUGGCUGUUCGCCAUUUAAAGUGGUACGCGAGCUGGGUUUAGAACGUCGUGAGACAGUUCGGUCCCUAUCUGCCGUGGGCGCUGGAGAACUGAGGGGGGCUGCUCCUAGUACGAGAGGACCGGAGUGGACGCAUCACUGGUGUUCGGGUUGUCAUGCCAAUGGCACUGCCCGGUAGCUAAAUGCGGAAGAGAUAAGUGCUGAAAGCAUCUAAGCACGAAACUUGCCCCGAGAUGAGUUCUCCCUGAGACUU
rnacentral:rRNA from 1 species